rnacentral:lncRNA from 1 species
UCCCUCUCUUACAUUCGUCGCUGUCUUUCCGGCCAGCGAGCCCCCUCCGAUAUCCCUCCCCGUCGCCGCUGUCACCAGCGAAGACAACAACAUUGCCUCCCUUCUCGUCUUCGCUUCGCGAACGCCGCCGCAAAGCCUCCACCACCAUCGAUGGCCAUGCAACCUGCAACCCCAACGAACCAUCCAUCAGAGAAGACAGCGCCGCCACCUCCUUUCUCUCCCCGUGCCACUAACAACGACAACAACGUCAUCACCAACGAACAGCGCAACCUCCGUCACUAACGGAACCAGCGGGCCAGCAUCGCGAAUCCACCAGGCGCGUCACCGCCUCCCGCUCCAGCGUCGCCGCUGCCACUUCUAUCUCGCUGACGCUCUUUCUUUACUCCCCAUACAGCUAUUGCUGACUCCAUUCCUCUUUUCCUCCGACUAUGUUUGAUCGAUAGACACCAUCACAGGUUUCGUCCAUGAUUGAUUUUAUAUUAGUCUUUGUUUAAUCUUACUUUUCGUGAUCUGAAAUUGACUAAACUUGACAGACAUUAUUGAUUUUGAUAUUGAUUUCUAUGAGUCGGUAUUAAUGAUAUGUUAUACUCUCACAUACAUGAAAUUAGUGAUACUUGACUAGGCUACUGGUGGUUCUUCUAACUCUUGAAAUCAUUAUUCGUGCUUACAAAUUGUAGUCUGUUUGAUUUGUUUGACAUUUUUGCUGCACAUUUACUGUUUGCAAAAAUUUUAUUUUUGACUGAAGAUUAUGAAACUGACUGACCCCGUGAUUUGGGUGAUUUGAUGAUUUGAGUUGAUUGAAUGCAAUAAUUAAUGUUAGUAAUAUUCUUAUAUGAUUAGUUGAGUUUUUAUUUUAUUUUUAUUCUUUUACAGUAGCAUCAGACAUAUUUCAUACGUUAUUUGUGGUAAGUAUAAAUUCGUGUGUCCGAUUGAAAUAUAUUUGAUUUUUUUAACGGAUGUUUUCCUUCUAUUUGCUUUGACUGAAUUUGAUAUUAUAAGUGUGAUUCUAUAUUUAUGAAAACCCCCUAUUGAUUGGCUUCAUUCAAAUACUCUCCUCUUCCUCAAUUGUUUCUGGCUGAUUUUUUGAAUAUUUUUUUCCUUUUCUGUUGAUACUAAUUAACGCUCAUAUAUUUUCUUUCCUUUCAAACCACACUCCUCCUUUGCUAUAUAAAUAACUCCUCCUUUCAAUUAACGAACAGUUUUGACAUUAUAAUUACUACUACUCUCUUAAAAAUAUUAGUUACUUUUAACAAAAACAAUUAAAUAUUGUGAGGCGCUUUUGGUUAUCUUUGGAGGUUGUUGAAAACGUUUUGCAUAUUUCACCAUUAUACAAGUAUCUGGCUUUCAUUAUUCUUACUACUUCUCUUACUGUUGUUCACUAGUAAGUCCCUAUCAAUGCAAUUAUUUUAUUCUGUGUGUGUGCUGAUUGCAUAAUGUUAUUGAAGCCUUUAGGAACAUGCCUAUAGGAGCAUCUCGAUGUUCGUUCUUGUUUGUUUGCUAUUAUGUAUUAUUUCGCAGGCCUAAAUAGACGCAAGUUUCCAAGAGUCGUCGGGACAGUUAAUUAACUAUGUAUUCUUGAUAGUUAGUUAUUUUUUCUUAUUUUUCGCAUCAUUUGGCUUGUAAUAUUAUUUGUAAAAACAUUAUUCAUUAUUCUUGUAAUAAUAGAAUCUGGGGACUGCUUUGGGGGGCGGG